rnacentral:rRNA from 1 species
UACGGAGGGUGCGAACGUUAAUCGGAAUCACUGGGCGUAAAGCGCGCGUAGGCGGUCUGUUAAGUGGGAUGUGAAAUCCCCGGGCUUAACCUGGGAAUUGCAUUUCAAACUGGCCGACUAGAGUACGGUAGAGGGAGGUAGAAUUUCCUGUGUAGCGGUGAAAUGCGUAGAUAUAGGAAGGAAUACCAGUGGCGAAGGCGGCCUCCUGGAUCGAUACUGACGCCGAGGCGCGAAAGCGUGGGGAGCAAACAGG